AUAGAAUACACUUCAGGAAAGUUGUUUUUCCUGCCAUGACAAUAGAAAGACGUUUGUCAAGUCACGUUUUCGUGCAAUAAUAUUUUCUCAUCUCAUCUUCAGUGAAAUUUUUCCUACAAUGUGUGUGAAAAUGAGAAAAUUCUUGGGACGACAGCAUAGAUUCCUGGUGGAGUUUUCACUCGUGAGAGAGCAUUAAAAUGAAUAGCGGUGAAUUAUAUUAAAAACAUCUCAAAAUAGAUAACAUUUUGGGUGAAUGUGUGAAAUUGGAUUGGGGCUCUUAUACAAUCAUCAAACACUCGAAAACUCUUUCACGUUUCGCGCAUGAUAAGCCACGAGCACACAUCAAGCAGAAGAAAUAUAUCGAUGAUGGUAGAUUAAAUAUUACAAAUGAAAUAUGUAAUAAAAAAAAUUAUACUGCUCUCAAACUGAGCAAAAUACCCAUCAAUGGUGAGAUGGAGUGAAAAAAAAACUAGUAAAAUCUUACACGAACACUGGAAAUUGAUCAUGUGUAUCUCCAAUUGUAUUUCAAUGCUUUUUGCAGUAGCCAACAAACACGAUCAUUUCACAUGAGAUUCCUUUUUUAACUCAAAUUGAGAUGAGCGAGAGGGAGAAAAAUGAAAACAUCACGUCUUGCUAUCUAAUCAGAAAAUCAAACUUUAUUGGUAACCAAGAGAGAGAGAAUUUGUGUGUUGGAUUUGUGUGUGUUUUAUGUACUUUUCAAUACACAGCGAGAAAUUCCGCAAUUUCCACGAAGCAAUUUAGCCAACACUCAAUUGUAGAGUCUCGUGAAAAACUUCUAGCUUCUACGCGGCUUCACGGUUGUAUUUUGUGUGGACUUGAGUGGAAAAAAAAAACGUCCAAUUGAUGUGAAGGUGUGAUAGUGAAGUUGGGGGAAACGCGUCUUUCCCUCGUGGCCUCCGAGCAAGUGAUAAAAGUGCGCUAAGAGUGUCACACAUUUUGAAGAAUUCCUGUCAAUAUUUCGAUAGCUAAUCACGAGCAAUUGAAGGCGUCGAAGCAGGUAAUAAAAGUGUUUUCCAAACUUUCUCAGCGCCACUCGUGAGGGAAUCACAGCUAAUGGAACCAAAUUGGAAAACUAUUGGUCAAUCUUUGAGCCGUCAAAUCAUGCAAACUAUGCGAUGCUUCGGAUGACAUAGGAGAGAAGAUUUUGCAAAAAUAUUGUCUAUUCUGAGUCAGAAAGCCCACCGUAAUCCACUCGGAGUAAAUAAAAUGUCAUGUUUGCUUAAUAUUCUAAUUUCUAAGACAUUAAGCCCUGCUCUAAGCCCAUCUGGUGUGUGCCCAGAGAUGAAUCACAGCUCCUAUAAGUGAUUCUCGAUGCUCACACCUUUUCCUCUGGCCGAAUGUAUCUCACUUUUCCGAAGCUCCCUCUUGCGUAUCGUCGGUCCCGCUCGCACACUAUCUCCGCCUCACUCGCACAUCGGCAAUGCACAAUCCGAUCGCGUUGGAGAUUAAUUUCAAAUAGAAUCGUGCGAGCUGCUGGCGGUUCUCCUCUCGCCAGUCGUGUAUUCGCUCACACACCGAUCAGUCCUGAGCGCCGGGCGGAUUGUGCGUGAGCUUUCGCGAGCUUUCACUCCCACCGCGUGUCACUGUGUGCGCACACUUGUGCGAAAGUAUUAAUAAAAUAGCGCGCCUCUUCAAUCGCCGAGAGACUGCGCCAUGAUUUCAUUGAAAUUGCCGAUGGGAAGAGACACCGCACUUUUUCGAUGCAAUUCGCGGUGGCCACUUCAGUGCUGGCUUAAUCAUCGAGCACACUGGGCCAGUGAUGGUGCUGACCACGGUGAUCGUUAGUCGUUGCAAGUGUGUAGAGAGUUAGUAUCAGAACGCGAAUUUGGAGCUCGUGGACUGAGCCCGAAAAUUGUACUUUGAGAAAAGCAACCACCAUUUAUUGGAUUAACAUGUGAGAGGCGACUUUUUGCUGCGCGCGAUUAGCAAUUUCCCACACAGUCACGACUCUUGUGAGUGAUUGGGAGGUGGAAACUCAUCACUUUUCAUCCGCCAAAUCACCAGACAAAUUGGGACUGUCGUGGUCGUCAUUCCGAAUGUGGCAACAUUGGACAAUUGUGCGGCGCGAGAGAGGAAAAGAGGCCCAAAAGAAAAGUGGUUGAAAUUGCCAUGUGAUUUGAUAUGUUGCUCAAAAUGGUGAAAAAAGGCAUUUACAUGCCACAGAAUUUGGGUUAUGAAACUCAAGAGCAUAUCGUUGUAGUGACAGUUAGCUCAUAAUUGGUGAUAAUUAGCUAUAUAGCGACUCUAAUUGAAUUUACUGACUCGUCGCUGCGUCGAGUGUUUUGAGUGUGUCAUCGUGGAGCUUUUGCGUGCUGGAAAUUUUGAGAGAGCGCGAAACUCAGAGAGAAUCUUUUUCCGCUUCUCUGAAAAGCUGUAGGAGAAUAUAAAACGGCCCUCCCAAGACUGCGUUCGCGAUCACAUGUUGCACGCGAAAAGAGACUUUUUGAGAAAACAGCCCGAGGAGAGAGAAAAAAGAUUGUAUGAUUUUUCCGACCAUUGAAAAAAUGUACAUUAUUAGGCACACGACGCCCAAGGUCUAGCCUAUUAAGCUGUGUACACAAUACAGUAUGAGAGAUACAUUAUUUUUCCCCCUGUUUCAUUCACACAUUUUACACACAUUACAAUGCUGCCUUUUUUUUCCUUCGGCGCGAUCUCUCGAGUGCAUAAGAGAGGGAAAGGAGAUGAAAAAGCAGAGGAAAAAUCAUGUUAUGCAAUUGGCAUCAAAGUUUGAAUACAAUUGCAAAUUGCAUUUGAACUUAUGCACUUGUUUAUGGUGUUUUUCCACCUUCACGGCUUUUUUCUCUCUCACACUUUUUCCUUGAUUUUUCACCCUCGACGCCCUACAUUGCGCUGACCCACUUCUCGUGGUAGUCACAAUUGGUGGAAUUUCCCGGCUAAAAUCCUCGCAGGCAGAUCGAUUUGAGGCAUUAAAUGAGGAAAGAGACAACCGUGGGUUAUAAAUCUCUCGAUUUUAAUUAGGCGGCUGACCUGAAUAUAGCUUACGUUUUACUGCAAUAGAAUUGAGCGCUGAGAAGUGGCUUAAAAUUUACUCAUUUCAGAGGUUUUGCCAUGAUUUAUUAAAUUAAAAACCGCAAAAUUUAAUCAAGUCGAUAGAAAAUCAGAAAAUCAGUGGAAAAAUAACAAGGUUUAUGGCUUUUAAUUUUCUUUUCGGGCGGAAAAAAGCUAUCAAGCCUGAAAUCUCAGUUAACUGUGAUCUAUUAGUGCUUUCUUAUUCUGAUUUGUAUGACAAAAGAAAUCCUGAAGCUUAAUGUAGGCAAAUCACUCAUUGUCCGUAUUCAUGAGCUUCUGCUGUGGGAUUUUUUUUUCAAAAAUUUCUUUGCGACACUCCUCAGUGAAAUUGGCAAAAUCCAUAUGACAAAUGCCCGGUCAUAAUUCUGCGCCUCUGCUCAGAUUGCAGCGUGAUUGCAAGUGAGCAUUAGUGUGAAAAUUCCAUUGGAGUUUCUCGACGCGAUCGCCCGCGCGAAAAACGUUCCGAAUGCCGAUUCACUUAAUGAUAGAGACACAUCUCAGCAUUUUGUUAGAAAAAUAGAUGGAAUAGCUCUCUCUCCCACCCUCAAAUUCCGCUGCACAACUCAAAAGAAUCUCUAUGAUACACUCUUGAUUGACUCAACGGGAGCUUUCAGCUGUGCUUUCAGCAGCUGAGAAUUGCACGAUUGCGCGCAAGAAUUCAUUUUUGUCUAUUUUCGUAAGCUUGACCAGAAAUACACCAUCUCUGGAGGUGGGAAUGGUCUCAAAAUCAAAAGAAAAGAAAAAAAACCUCCAAUCUCUCGCUGGCGUGCCAGAGUUGCAAGAAAAACAUCAAUUGAGAGAGAAAGAGGGAGAGAGAGAAAGAGAUGUUGGCAACGUCCAAUGUUAUAAAAAGAUGUUAAAUGUCCGAAUCAAGUGAAAUUUUUCCACUCUACUUGGUCAGAUGUGGUGUGAGGUGAAAACUAAAUAGCGCAGCUAAUAAAUAAUAAACAAACAAAUUACAUAUUCAAUUGAACACACCAAAUAAAUGUGUCAAAAUUACAGAUUUGUCUCACCGCGAAGAUUCAAAGCUCACGACAUGAUGCCAAAAAGCACUCUUUUCUCUCUUUGUUUCUCUUUCGGGAUGCUUUUUGAAAUGUCACACGGGCAAAAAGUGCAUUGUGACGGUCAAUUUUAAUGAAAAUUCCACUCAAUUCUGUGUCAUUCACAUGUACAAAAACACACAUUUGCAGUUUGUGUCGUGCAUUGAGGAAUAAUUUUGGCCUUUAUUCCUGGGAUUUCUCACAUGAAAAGUCUCUCCGUCACAGCCCUGGUCAAUUUUCCGAGCGGGCCAACAAAUGGUGGGAAAAUUGCAUAAUAGCCUUCCCGAGAAUGCACUCACGAUCAGUGACAAGUCUCACGAGAGAGAUCCCAUUUUGACCUGGGCUGUGAGUGAUGAUAUUGGCGUGGCCAAAAUGCACAUUUAGGCGUCCUCAUCACGCCCGGUGACCAAAAAUAAACCGCACAGCAGUUUCAGACCCAAUAACCUCAUCAUUGGCCAACCACAUUCUCUCACCCAGUUCAUUUGAUUCAAUCAAAUUACGAUCACUUCACCUCUGGCACGGGUUUCUCCCUUUGCGAUUGCCCUCAAUUGUGCUGUGUUGGCAUCAAUAUCUCAUGCAUAUCUAUUGAGAAGACACACGCUAAGAUCGCACCUAAAUUGAAUUUGAUCGCGGUGUGAUCAAGUUCUACGCGACAAAAUACCUUCUUAUAUUCUUUGCCAAACUCUUGCCAAACUUUGAUCGUGAAAUCGCAAUCACCUGCAUUCCAACGUCCAAAGUCAACCCUUUGUUCUUUUCAAUAUAACCCUGAAUUCGAAUCUCCCUCCCCGAAAAAAGAAGAGAGAAAUAGCUUUGGGAUGUGGCGCAAUUGAAUUGACACCCAUUUGUUUGUGAUCAAGGUGAUCCUUCCGCCUUCUCACAAGGAGAAUUGACGUGCAGACUAGAAUAUUUAUUAGUGGCACACGGCAAUUGGCAUCGAUUGCAAAUUCUGUGAUUCUCGCACGCAGAAAAAUUGUGCAACAUGCGCAGGCGUUCGCUGCCUCAUAUGUUAAUCCAAUAUCAUCGAAGGUGGUGAUCAUUAAUGCAGCUCAUUAUGCGCUGUGCGGCGGGAUAAAACAGAGUGAUGAUAAAGAGUAAAAUAUGAGUGUGCGGUCGAGGCCCUGAAGUGGAGAUAUUAUCAGUUUUGGAGUGCGUGUCAGAAUAAACAGUCGCCUUGGAAUAAGCCACGAGAUCACCGGCGCAUCGCCCACGCAACGCAUCACUGAGGAUAUUUGUCACACUUUAAUUUCUGUAUAUCAAAAUACUUGUCGUGCAAAUAAAUGAUCUUUCGCA